UGGAUGUUUCAAGCUAUUAACACCCUGCC
rnacentral:piRNA from 1 species